rnacentral:rRNA from 1 species
AAUACAUGCAAGUCGAGCGGACCGACGGGAGCUUGCUCCCUUANGUCAGCGGCGGACGGGUGAGUAACACGUGGGUAACCUGCCUGUAAGACUGGGAUAACUCCGGGAAACCGGGGCUAAUACCGGAUGCUUGAUUGAACCGCAUGGUUCAAUCAUAAAAGGUGGCUUUUAGCUACCACUUGCAGAUGGACCCGCGGCGCAUUAGCUAGUUGGUGAGGUAACGGCUCACCAAGGCGACGAUGCGUAGCCGACCUGAGAGGGUGAUCGGCCACACUGGGACUGAGACACGGCCCAGACUCCUACGGGAGGCAGCAGUAGGGAAUCUUCCGCAAUGGACGAAAGUCUGACGGAGCAACGCCGCGUGAGUGAUGAAGGUUUUCGGAUCGUAAAACUCUGUUGUUAGGGAAGAACAAGUACCGUUCGAAUAGGGCGGUACCUUGACGGUACCUAACCAGAAAGCCACGGCUAACUACGUGCCAGCAGCCGCGGUAAUACGUAGGUGGCAAGCGUUGUCCGGAAUUAUUGGGCGUAAAGCGCGCGCAGGCGGUUUCUUAAGUCUGAUGUGAAAGCCCCCGGCUCAACCGGGGAGGGUCAUUGGAACUGGGGAACUUGAGUGCAGAAGAGGAGAGUGGAAUUCCACGUGUAGCGGUGAAAUGCGUAGAGAUGUGGAGGAACACCAGUGGCGAAGGCGACUCUCUGGUCUGUA